rnacentral:rRNA from 1 species
AGAAUCAACGCUGGCGGCGUGCCUAACACAUGCAAGUCGAACGAGAAAGGGGUAGCAAUACCCUGAGUAAAGUGGCGCACGGGUGAGUAACACGUGACUAACCUACCCUUGAGUGGGGAUAACUGAGGGAAACCUUAGCUAAUACCGCAUAAUACCCACGGGUCAAAGGAGCAAUUCGCUCGAGGAGGGGUCGCGGCCGAUUAGUUAGUUGGCGGGGUAAUGGCCCACCAAGACGAUGAUCGGUAU